rnacentral:lncRNA from 1 species
AUGAAUUGGACUUCGGAGAAGAAGACGUAGCCGCGCUUCUGAGCUGCUUCGCCGGCUAGAAGGAUGAGCAGAUGGCGGGUUUCUUCGUCGGCCUGGCGGAAGUUUUGAUUGGAAAGGUGGUGUUGGAGGGUGUCAAAGGAGAUAGCUUGGGAAGUAGUUGUGGAUGUGGUGGAAGAAGGAUGAGAGAAGGUGGUGGUAGAGGAGAGAGAGGAAAGAGUGUUUGUGGUGGAGGUGGAGGAGGAGGGGGGUUUGAGGAAGAAGGAGGAGGGUGGAGGAGGAGGAGGGGUGGAGAGGCGUUUGAAGGAAGAGGAAUGGUGGUGGUGGUGAAGGGUUCUAAGAGAGUGAGUGGCAGCCAUGGUUUAGUUUGAUUGUGAGGGAACUGAGGGGGGGAUUGAAAGGCUUUUAAGACAAUG